AAGCGGUUCCUGCUUGCAUCUUUGGGGCAGAGGCCUCCACCAGCAGGCUCUCCUCCAUUCCUCCAGUCCUGGAGGAAGCAAGGCCCUCCUAGGCAGGUGGUGGGUAACAGAGGAGGGCCCUGAGAGCACCACAGGAAGAACCCUUGGCUGGGCUGGGACUUGGAUGUUGAGGUCUCGGUGUCCCGCAUGAGAUGUCUGCAGAAUGAGACUUACAGUGCGCUGAGCCCUGGCAAAAGUGAGGACAUUGUGCUUCGAUGGAGCCAGGAGUUCAGCACCUUGACUCUAGGCCAGUUCGGAUGAGCUGGCGUCUAUUCUGUCCACAGCCCAGCCCAACCUGCCCACAUUCUCUAUUGUUUUGAGACCCCAUUGCUUUCAGGCUGCCCCUUCUGGGUCUGUUACUCGGCCCCUACUCACAUUUCCUUGGGUUGGAGCAACAGUCCCAGAGAGGGCCACGGUGGGAGCUGCGCCCUCCUUAAAAGAUGACUUUACAUAAAGUGUUGAUCUUCA
rnacentral:sRNA from 1 species